GUUUCCGUAGUGUAGUGGUCAUCACGUUUGCCUAACACGCAAUAGGUCACCCAGUUAGAAACUGGGCGGAAACA
rnacentral:tRNA from 1 species